AUACUUAACCUGGCAGGGGAGAUACCAUGAUCAUGGAGGUGGUUUUCCCAGAGGGAGGCUUACCCAUUGCACUCCAGAUGUGUUGACCCCUGCAAUUUCCCAAAAUGUGGAAACUCAACUGAAUAAUUUGUGGUAGUGGGUGACUGUGCUCAAACUCUCCCCUG